AUGGGCCUCCCAACAACUAGGAAGCUGGCAUUAAAAAACAAGAUUGUCUUUGGCACUGGUGACCAUUAUCAUGCCCCAACUUUGGCAGCAAAUAUGGCAUUCGUCAGAGCAGUUUCACAGACGGGGAUGUCCCUCUCCAGUAUUGAACAUAGACCAAGGGCAUUAACUGGUGAUUAGUUACACGCAUUCAUGACAACAAAUGUUAAAGCAUUCACUCACAUAUUAGAAUCUAAUUUCAAAUUUUCAAUUGAAUGUGUUACUGAAGUCCAUUCAUCAAAAUUCAAUUGCAUAGGUUCUGCUUAUUUUAAUGGAGGUGUAAUAACAAAUUCUGGCAAGAUGAAAGUUAUUCUUAGUUGAACAACGCCAUGUUUCUGAUAAAGUACCAGGAUCCUUGUACAAGUUGACUUUUUACUAUUUAUUUGUUGUUAAUAAGUUGCCAUAGUCCCAAUGCAAGAUAUAGCUAUAUUAAAAAAUUAGUUUGUCAAUAGUUAUAUUUACUACCAUGUAAAUAUAAGUAGUUGAUGCCGUCUCUGAGACAGUUAACCCAGGGCCUCAAAUAUUCUACCUAAGUAGUUGAUGCCAGAACAACUGAAACGGGUUUGCAAAUUAUGAACUUUUCAUAAUCUGUCAGUUUGCAACUGAAAUAUAAUUUGCACUAAUGCAAUUGUAAACCCUUCUUCUGUCAUGAAAAUCAGGUUUUCAGUUUGAAUUUACAGUUGGUGCUAUCUACCACCAAGAGGCAAUCCGUUAAGAUUCUAACAUUCCUCGGCUUCAACCUCUCAUGUUUGAUGGAUACUGGUGAUGUGAUGCAUAAGUACCUUCAGAUCCAGUUGUGUUUGAACCUCUACUUGACCAAUCAAGGACACUUUUUGAACAUUGUUUUGUUCUGAUGACUUUGGAAGAACUGACAUGGCAAUGGAUGAUUGAUGAUACUGCACCUGCAAUUCAUGAUCAUUUCCUGAAGAACCUGGAGCAUGGCAGUUGGGUUUGGAAUAUGUAUCUGUGACAAACAUGGUCAAUUUGUGCUUUCAAAGAUAGAAUGGAUUGCCCUUCUUUGUCGAAUGGAUGCCGGCGUACCUCUUGGCAGAACCUGCGAUUGCUUUAGGUAUGAUAUGGGCUGGUGCUUUGCAGAAUGCUACAGCAGCUGAGCCUGGUGCGGCACAGUCAUAUUCAGCCGCUGUUAAUUGGUGAAGUAGAAUCUGAAUUGCUUCGGGUCUGAUGCGGGCUGGUGAUUUGCAGAAUGCUACAGCAGCUGAGCCUGGUGUUGCGUAGUCAUAUUCGACUUUUGUUAAUUUUAAAAUUCGACUCCUGGGUGAUUCAAAUGUAAUAUUGAUGCAUCCUUUGUGUCGCAUUUAAAUAAAGUUGGGUUUGGAAUAUGUAUCCGUGACAAACAUGGUCAAUUUGUGCUAUCAAAGACAGAAUGGAUUGCCCUUCUUUGUGGAGUGGAUGCCGGCGUACCUCUUGGUGAGUAUAUGUUCCCUAAUUGAUGGUAUGUCCUUCGAUGUCCCUAAGUUGAGUUUAUGUUCCUCCAUGUCCCUAAAACGGAUGGUCUGAAUGCAAUUUCAGUGUGAAUGCUUAUUCAUAACUACAAAUGUUCAUAACUACAAAUGUAAGUGGAGAAGACCUUUGGUGCCUUAGAUGCAAAAAUUGAAUAUAUGUCCUCCAUGUCCGUAAAUUGAAUAUAUGUUCCUCGA